GAGAGGGAGAACGAUCUUGGCUACCGAGGGUGGCGGAUGAGCGGGGCUCCGGAUGCUCCGCUCCCCGGUCCGCGCCCCGCGCUGCUCCUGGCCCGACGGCGGCUCUUGGCUCCUGCCCUGGCCGGGGAGUUUUCAUAAAUUCUGGCUAUAAAAGAAGGAGGAAAAAAAACCCUCCUCAAAACCCAACGAAAAGGCAGCGCUGAGCAGCGGGACCCAGAAGCAGAGCGAAAGCCCCCAGCCCUGCACCCGCGGCAGUAAUUCCAGCUUUGUUCGUGGGCUUUCACUGGCAAAUAUCACAUUAAAGCCGGACUACGCAACUCGCUCCCCUGCGGAGCCCCGGCCUUCCCCGCUCGCCAGCGGCCGACGCCGGUGCACAGAAAAACGCCGGUGGCGUUCGGGGAACCGGGGCACCAGGCUGCCGGCACGGCGGGCAGCUGCCUAGCUUCUUCACCGGCACGGAGACCGGCAGCCGUCCCUCGGGCGGCCUCGCUGCCGGUUGUCCACGGAGCCUCCCACAACAGGGCGCUCCCCAGACUGGCUCUGCAAGACCGCAGCUCCGACCGAGCCCCCGGCGGCGGCGCCCGCCGCCCGGUGCUUCCACGUCGCCAGGCCUCUCCCCCGGCCGCCGACGUGCGGGCAGUCCCAGGACCGGGCCGAUUUGGCUCGGUAGCCCUAGCGGAACUGCCUCGGCCCGGGAGGAGCCGCCGCCGGUGCACGACGGUGACAGAUCCAGCCCGCGCUCCCCCCUCGGAAGGAUGGAUGUGAACGAGCUACUAAGUGUAGUUACUAAUAACAAUAACAAUAAAUUAUCGGACUGUUGCUCAGUAAUGCAAACAAAUGUUCCGUGAACUACGCGGAGUAUCCCCGUGCCUCGCAGCAGCCCCACCGGGACCGGCCCGUCUGACGAGCGGCUGCUCCACGGCCCAGAGAGACGACCCUGUUCGCCCGGCGGCCUCACGGAGCAGGUGACAGGGCCAGUGAUGAGGGACGGGGCCAGCCAGGGUGGCCGAUAGGGAAGCUGGUGCCGGCGGUAUCCGGCAGAAUGCGGUCGGAGGCCGUGCCGCGUGAAAAGCGGCGAGCACCGACCCGGUAUUUUAAUUAAGCAGGACCUCUUUGAUAUAGGCCGCUUGAUGCUAUCUAUCUCUGCUCUCUGUUCCCGUCACGACAGCAUUUGGGUAGGAAAAUUGCUGAGCGAGGCGGGCCAGGCAGGGCGUCGGUGCCGCGCCGAGGAGCCGGAAAGCCCCAGGGAGCGGCGGGCGCUGCGCAGCGC